rnacentral:lncRNA from 1 species
UUUCAUUUAGAGGCUUAUAAUUUGAAAAAUGGUUUUUGAAUGGGUACACUAUUUUCUUAAAAACUAAUGUUUUAAAAAAUAUUUUAAUCGAUUCUAUUGUAGUCCAUUCCAAGGAUAAGUUCAUGAUGUUAUGUUUUGAAAUUAAUUAACUUUUGAAACCUUGGUAAGUGUAGUUUAAGUACUAUUUCCAUUAUUGAGUUUAUUGAAGCUCACUAUAUUCCAU